AUACGGAGGGGGUUAGCGUUGUUCGGAAUUACUGGGCGUAAAGCGUACGUAGGCGGAUCGGAAAGUAAGGGGUGAAAUCCCAGGGCUCAACCCUGGAACUGCCUCUUAAACUCCCGGUCUUGAGUUCGAGAGAGGUGAGUGGAAUUCCUAGUGUAGAGGUGAAAUUCGUAGAUAUUAGGAGGAACACCAGUGGCGAAGGCGGCUCACUGGCUCGAUACUGACGCUGAGGUACGAAAGUGUGGGGAGCAAACAGAAUUAGAAACCCUAGUAGUCC
rnacentral:rRNA from 1 species